UAAAAUAAUCGGGAAGAUAAUCCUGUUAUAUUAUCAUUUAGUGAAAAUAGUAUAGACACAAAUAUUUCUUCACAUGAGUUCUUGCUAAUUGCGGUUGAUGAGUGAUGACCCUAACUCGAAAGAUUCACUCUUUGUAGUGAAUGAAUAAUUAUCGAUUGCGGUACCUGGUAAGCCCCUUUUUAAUAGUGUGGGUAUAAUUGUGAUAUUAGCAUGUCUUAUGGGUAAUACAAUUCAAGUUAAGGGUAUUUGUGACUUUUAAAAGAUUUGCUUAUACUACGUGUCCUUUAACCUGUAGUUGUGUUGCCACGUCUGUCUAUAUCUUCACCAAUGUAAUCUGUAUCGUCUUCAUCAAUUUUCAGAAUCUAAUUGAGUUACCAUCAUCUUCAAGACAGUUUUUCACUCAAUCUUUUCUCUAAUUUGAUUGCGAUUCUCUUCAAGUUUUCUGAUUUCAUGGCUUUCACUUCUUUUCAAGUUUAGAAUUUCAUAGCUUAGAUUCAUGCUUGUCUCUUUUCUUUGCAUCAUGUGUUUCAUGAUUUGCGUUCGAAUCCAUGAAAGAGGAUUAUCUUCAAAUUAAUUAUGAUUUAUUAUGAAUCCCUAAUAUUUAGAAUUAAUUUUAAAAAAGAAACAAAAAAGAGUUUAGCUUGUGGAGUUUAAAGUAAUCAACUGACCUUGAGUAAGAAGCCCAUUGACGGCUUUAUCAGGGUACUAUAUAAACUUUCUUAUUUCUCUUUGUUGUUUAGAAUUGGUCAAACAUAUCGAAAUAUUCUUAAAUUUAACACGAACUUUCACUUUAACACCUAAAUUUGGACACCUCAACUAGUAUCCAAGUGUAUCAUUUUGACACUUUUCUGUACAAACUGCUGUAAACAUCAGGAGCAUGGGUAACAACCAUUUCUUAUGUGGAUUAAUUGACCAAUUAAAUUAUGCCAACUCAUUUUAAUUGUCCACCUCAUUAAUAUAUACACAAAUAAAUUAAAGAUAAAAAUAAAGAAAAAAACACAUGGCAAAUAUCCAAUUACAUGCUGACAAGUGAUAUUUUUUUUCAGAUAAUUACAAGACUAUUUAAGUCUACGUUUUAACCCUCCCCCCCAAACCACCUACCCACCCUAAGUCAUUAUCUCCACAACACCCACCCACCCCAUCCCCCUAUGCCAAGUCAUUUUCUCCAUAACACCUACCUGCCCUCACCUUCAUCCCCCUCACUUAAAGUCAUCUUCUCCACAACACCCACUCGCUCUCCACCCUCACCCCAUCUCAAGUCAUCUUCUCCACAACAGCCACCCGCCCCCCACCCCUAAAAUCAUCUUAUCCACAACACCCACUCGCCCUCACCCCUAAAGUUAUCUUCUCCACAACACCCACUCCCAAUAAAAUUGUCUUCUCCAAUACAUCCCACCCCACCUUCUCCACCCACCUAAAUUGUCUUCUUCGACACACCCAACCCCCUCCCUCAUAGUGUCUCGCAUUUUCAUUUCUACCAUAUCAUUUAUUUUCAAUACUAUCAAGCUCACAUUUUUUAUCGAAGAAAUCAUUUAAAGUUUUUUUCAAAUCAUUUAUAGCAAUAACUCAAAAGUAAAGAAAAUAACAAGUAAAAACGUUGAAGAUUUGAAAAUUCUAAUCAUCAUCAUUCUUUAUUUUUUUAAACCCAAAAAACAUAAAAAGCUUGAAAAAUUAAAAGUAAAAUAUGGGUAUAAAAAAAUUGAGACUUUGUAUAUCAUUUCGAUCAUUGACAUCAAUAUUUUUAAGGUUCAAUUUUUGAGUUUAUAAUUUUUUUGUUUUAUUCUGAAAAGAUGAUUUUCUAAUCAAGAAAACAAGAAAUAAUAGUGUUGGGGGAGAGGGACUACUGCUAUUGAGAGAUUUAAAGAGUAUAUUUGAGUUUAAGUCUGAUACAAAGGUGAAAAAAUGGAGAAUAAUGGCUGGAGAAAUUGGAAAGAAGAAGAAGAGGAAACCAAAAAUAAAAAUUGACUAAAUCGGCCAUUCACGCGCCUAUUAAUUAAUUCACCUUUUUAUGUAAGUUAAAAGUGUCAAAAUGACACAUUUGGAUACUAGUUUCGGUGUCAAAGUGAAAGUUCAUGCCAAAUUUAGGGGUCUAUUAUGUAUUUGGCCUUUAGAAUUUUAUUGUCGCUCUUUAUUUUUGGCCUUUAUUGUGACUGCGAUCUGUGACCUUUUUUUUUGUUCUUUGAUAUCUAUUUACUCUCGACACAAAUCAAAUCACCUUUUACUUUAAUUAAUUAAUUAGACAACCCCAAAAAAUAAUAUAGUAGCUGGUUUAAAGAAGAGGAAGCAUGGGCAGGUUUAUAGCAAAACUAACCAUUUCAAUUGAACUGACUAAAUUCUGUUGUAUAUAUGUAUAUAAUAUGUUCGAAACUCGAAAAAUUGAGUAAACCGAUUCAGUUGAUUUUAGAAAAUUUCAACCUUUAAAGUUAAAAUUCGAUAAAAAAAGUAAAGGACUUAAUUCUAUGCAGACAUCUUGAGAGGACAAGAUAGAAAACUCAUGUCAGGGAGUGGUGAAGUUACCUCUCAAUUGCACAUGAUAAAAAGUGCACUGCCUUGUGAAAGUCUUGAAACAAAGAAUGAAAGCUAUAAACAAUGAAAAUAGUUAACCAAAAAAAUGAACGAAGAUUUCUGCAGUUUCUUAAAUUUACUCAAUUAUUGUUCGAUCUUAUAAUCAUGUAAAAGAAAAAGAUAUUGAGGAAAAAAAGUAAACAGUGUGAAAAAGGAUGGCAGAGAACAACCGAAAAAAAGUACUAAGUGAACUCAUAUAAAUUUUUAAAAUGAAUCUGUGUUUUUUAUUGUUCCUAGAUAUUUUUUUCUUUAUGUUACUGAUACGAUCCGAACCAGGGCCAAGUCAUGUCUUGUGCCUCAAGUUCAAUCUGGACCGAAGACCACCCCCAAUACCCACCAUAACCGCCCUGUACCCUAUGUCAGAUGAAUUCUGAACAUAUAACAAGAUAAAAUAAUUAUACUCAAAGAUAAUAAUAGAAUCCAUAACCAUAACCAACCAAUAAUACAAUCAAAUAUCUAACCAGUGUUAGCCCCAAUACUAAUACCAAUGCCAAGGCUGACACCAAUACUGACGCCGCUCAUGUACAUAGUAGUCACACAAAGCCUCUAGCCAAAAAUAAAGAAUAUCCGAUCGGGACAUGCUCCGAAUCAUAGGCAAAAUCAAAGUCCAAGAAAUAACCAAAAGUAUGAAAUGAUAUGCAUAACAUGAAAUGGAGUCUUCCGGAGUAUGAAAGCUCACCACUUCAGUCAAACACAAGCUGUUCCCAAAUCCAAGAUCACUGAGCAGGAGAAGUGGUAUGACUUGUUCCUGCAUUGCGUGGGGAUACAAGGCCCGAAGACGGGUUAGCGGGUGAACGCUAGCAUGUACUCAGGAAUAAGGAUAAAAUAACACCAUUAUUUAAAACCAAAGUAAAUAACCAUAUGCAAUCACAUAUAUGUAUACAUAUAUACCAUGUCGAAAAAUGGAAUCGGGUUUAACAUACAUUUAAAUCUUUAACCUAGGUGGUGUAGCUUGAUUGUCCUAAAACCACCAAUGGGCUAUAUGGUCCUGUGUCACCCCCUGAACGGGCCCUAGUGCGUGUAGAUACACGAACUAGAGAUAUCAUAGGGGUAGGGGAUUCCCGUGUACCCUUCGUCCUCCAUGAUAUAUAUAUACGAUUAUAAACUUAGGGGAUUCUUGUGUACCCGACAAGUAUAUGGUCACCAUGACCAAUCUUAUGUUGGCAAACAUGAGUUUUCAAUGUUUGUCCAUUGGAGUCACACCUUCAUGGUUAGCUAUCACAAUCUGUCAUUAUUGCCCAAUUAAAACCUUUAGCACAUAGCAAACCACCAAUUCCAGAGUUAAUUACCAAGGCAUUAUGAAGUGGUAUCGUCAUACCGACUAUAGCUUGCAAUCAAUGUCAUUAGCCAACACUUAGGGGAUUCCAUGUACCCUAUAGAAUUUCUAAUCAAUCAAAACCAAGGCCUAUACAAAUAAUUUAAUUCAAUCAAACUAUUUAGGGUUCCAUUACCAUAUUAUGCAAUGCAAGGUUUUCAAUAAAAGUCAAACUAUGUGACAAAAACAUUCUGAUUGGCAUUUUAACAAACAUGUUGAGGGCAUAGAGUUUUCAAACCAAAACCCAGAACCAAUUAGCCAUUCCCAUGCAACCACAUGUUCAAACCAACAAUAUAACAUGAAAACCCAUAAAUAGAACAUGGUAAAACACAUCCAACCAUUAAUAACUGAGACCCCCAACAUAUAUUUCAAAACCAACACAAACCCAUAAUAAUGCCAUGAAAAUCAUUAAGUAAAACAUACUUUUAGUUUGAACUAACAAUGAGGGAGGAGUAACAUGCCUUAGAUACCAAAGAAGAUGGAGAGAUCUACUCUUGAAAUCCCCUAAUUGAAUCACCUUAAGAAAACCCUAGCCCUUUCUUGAACCAAAAGCUUGAGAGAGAUUUAAGAGUGACUUGAGAGUGUUUGACUUAGGAAUAGUAGGUUAACAAAGUCCCAUGAGUGUUUUAAGUUGUGGGGUCAAAAGAAGUUAAGAGAGAAAAUAUCCAGACUACCCCCAUCUUUAAUUGUAAAAAUUCUUACAGGUGGAUAGGGUUUGGACCCCUCACUCGUACCCACAUCAUAUGAGUGGUACCCUCCACUCGUUUGUAUAUUGAUCAGAAUGUUGGGCAUCACAUUUUGUCCAACUUAUGACUCAGUAGCCUAAAUCGUACCCUAUCAUACGACUAGUACCCUCAAACCAUACCUUAAGCAGAAAACAUCUAGGUUAGAUACUGGAUCACAUACAGUUUAGUACUAUACUUCUCGUAUCAUGUACAUACGACUCAUAUGGAGUCUUUUCGUACCUUGGACAAAAAAUAACCAAAACAUACUGAGUAAUAUAUGACCAACACCCCUAAACCCUCCCCACAUCAUACGACAAGUAAUCCUGUGUCGUAUGAUGAUUAGAAGGCUCAAACUCAGGAAAUUUCUAAGGACCAGAACUCAGGUUGUUUCAAUUCUUCCCCACUUGGAUCAUUUAACCUCGAAUGAUAGAAUGACGCAUAACUAGCAUGAUUUAAACCCCAAACGUGUCUACCCUUAUCUUUAACCAAGUUAGAAAACAAAGACACCAAAGAAUUCAAUCUUUCCUUUAACAAAGUAUGAAAAUAAAGACGUUAUAAAGAACACAUACCUUUCGCAUGAAUUUCCAAAGCAGAAAACGUUAUGAAGAACACAUGCCUUUCGUACGAAUUUUUAGAGUAGAAAAUAGGAACGGAUACUUAGACUUCAUGUUCUCUUCAGCUUCCCAAGUAGUCUCUUCAAAGUUUUGGUUCCUCCGUAGAACCUUUACUGAGGCCACGUCCUUGGUCCACAACUGACGAACCUGAAGAUCCAAGAUCUCAAUUGGGAUCUCCUCGUAUGAUAGGGAAUCCAAAAUACCAAUAUCUUUGAUAGGCACGAUUUGAGAUGGAUCACCCAUACACUUCCUCAACAUAUAAACAUGGAACACCAGGCAAAAAGAGCUCAAACUAGAAGGCAAGUCCAACUCAUAUGCAAUAUUACCGACCUUCCUCAAAACCAAGUACAGACCAACAUACCGGGGACUGAUCUUCCCCUUCUUGAUAAACCACUUACUCGCUUCAUAGGAGACACCUUCAAAAUACCCUAUCCCCAACUUCAAGCUCCAAUUCCUUUUGUAUCACGUCUGUAUAGGAAUUUUGUCGACUUUGGGCCUCCUUAAGUCUAUCCCGAAUCACCUUCACCUUCUCCAUGGCUUGGUGAACCAAAUUUGAUCCAAACAUUUCCGCCUUACCAAUCAUGAACCACCCAAUAGGUGAUCUACAUCUCCUACUAUACAACACUUUAAAUGGGGACAUUCCAAUGCUAGAGUGUUAGUUAUUAUUGUAGGCAAACUCUAUAAGAGGAAAAUAAUCAACCCAACUACCACCAUAAUUAAUCACGCAAGCUCUAAGCAUGUAUUUCAGUGUCUGAAUAGUCCUUUUUUCUUACCCAGCCAACUACAGGUGAAAAUUAUUACUAAUAAAAACCUUAGUCCCCAAACCUUUCUGAAACUACCGCCAAAAGUGAGAUUAAAACUACAUAUGGUGAUCCGAGAUGAUUGAAACAGGUACCCCAUACACUCGCAAUCUCUUGGAGGUACAACUUUUCAUAGUCCUCAGCUGAGAAAUUUGUCCGCAUGAGCAAAAAAUGAGUUGUAAUACCCGUGCCUUUUUCCUAGCUAGAAAUUAUCUCAACGAUGCUAGGACUUACUUUAAAAUGAAAACCUAUCUUUCUAUACGCAGUAUUUUUGAUAUUUUCACUUUCUAUCACAUGGGAAAUUAAGUUAGCAACGGUACCAAGUUUUUCCAAAUCCGACAUCAGACGAGGAAGUUAUGGAUGUUUUACUUGGAACUGUCGAAAACGCCCAGGUAUGAUGGCCAAGUUGACAGACCGCCACAUAAGUGACGGACCGCCACUUUGACUAUCACAACCAAGGAAGUUGAGCCACGUACUGGAUAAGGACUGACGGACGAGUUGACGGACCAUCAAAGUUGUGACAGACGGGCAUCCAGGCCGUCAACUCUUAUCCAGUGAACCUCAUUUCUAGUCCACGUCUGACGGGCUAAGUGACGGACCGUCAAGUGUCUGACGGACCAUCAGUUGGACCGUCACACGCCACGUUUAGUUUAUUUCUAGGUCAUUUUAAUAGGGGUAUUUUGGUCACUUAUCACUAGCCUAUAUAUACCCAAAUGAGUCCGAAUUCAGCCAUUAUGCUCAUUAUUAUUUCACAAACAAAAACUAUGGUUUCUCUCUAAAUUUAAUCUCCAAGAACAAGACCCAAUCCUCUUCAAGAAUCAAAGCAUUUCUAACCCUUCAAGUUAAAAAACGUCAAGAACCUUGAGUCAGGUAUGCAUAGUGUUCAGCUAUGGACCCCUUUCGUUCAUAGAGUUCAAGAACCAUGCUUUUAAAUGAGAAACUUUGAUUUCCUUGUUGUUAUGUGAUGUUGUUCAUGUUAAUGAUCAUUGUUUAAGCUUCAAGAUAUUAAUUUAAGUUAAUUUCCAUGAUGUAUGCAUGCUUGUAGUUAAAACCCAUGAAUUUGGGUGGUUCAAGAUGAUUAAAAUUAUUGAGAAAACCUAUGCCNNNNNNNNNNNNNNNNNNNNNNNNNNNNNNNNNNNNNNNNNNNNNNNNNNNNNNNNNNNNNNNNNNNNNNNNNNNNNNNNNNNNNNNNNNNNNAUGUCAUGUGUGUCAGUUUCCUUCCAUCGAGUCUUGGGGGUAUUCGUACCCAAAAAAUAUAGUUGUGUGCCUAGAGCCAAGUCAUGUUACCCCGAUAAUCUCAGUCAAGCCAUGAUCUAUAGAACUCAGUCAUUCAUGUGACUCAGGAAACCUCUAAAUCUCAUGAUCUCAGCAAAAUCUCAGAUAGUAGUGCUAUUCCGUCAGUCAACGGAAGUCAGUUACUCAGUCCAUGUACAGUCAGUUAAAUCAUGUUCAGUGUCUUCAAAUGGGAGUAGAAGUUAGCACCGAGUGAACGCAAGGAUGGGAACUCACCUGCCAGUUUAGGGUGUGAUUCUUAGUAGUCAUCCUUGUGUUCCAAAACUACAUAGCCAGUGUAGGUUAAGACAUCUUAACCUGUCAGACUAGGGUUGAUGAGGUGGAUUAACCUGUCAGUUUAGGGUUCCCACUAUUCUUAUUUGAGUACCUUCCAGAUGAGGGUCACUCAUAACUGUCCUUACUAGUGGUGCGAUAUUGACACCCCUCUAGUCGGGGCAGAGAUUGGAUCCCAACUUAGCUAUAUGCAUUAUUGGGGCAUGUCAGUUAAACAACUACCUCCCACAGUUUUAGGCUCAGUCUCAAUAAAAGAACUCAGAUAGUUCUUCAGAUAUCAGUAUACUAGGACUGCCCGAUAUAGUCAAAUUCAGUUAUAGUACAGAACUCAGAUAGUUCCAUCAGACCCAAGACUGUCAGACACAGUCACCCAUGUUGACAGAACCAUAGUUUCAGUCAUUUUAGAAAUCAGUAAAUCAUGUAUUAGCGUACAGAUCCAUUAUUAUAUAUUCACGUUUCCAGUUAUUAUGUAUGUAUGUUUGCACUCCCACGUUCAUAUUAGUCGGUCAGUUAGCAUUGCUCAUGUAUGUAAAUCCUUCGUUUAGCCUACCUCACUCGUAUACUCAGUACUCUAGUUGUACUAAUGUAUUUGCGCUAUGGUGCUUUCUUUUUAUGUUACACCAUAGGUUCAGAGACACGAGUUCCAGACCAGCAGUAGAAUUCGCAUUCCAGUAUACAGAGCUGCAGUGAGUCCUCUUCAUUCGAGGACGAUAUGAUUCAAUUCAUUUAUUAUUUCGGUUAGUUUUCAGUUUACGAAUUUAGUUGGAGAUAUGUUCCUUCAACUGCUUAUUCAGUCAGUACUUCGAG
rnacentral:lncRNA from 1 species